ensembl:lncRNA
CUUUACAGUACAGGCUUCCUGACACUCCUUCUAACACUGUCACUAUCCUCCACCCUGAAGGAAACAUGCUACUACAACAGCCAAUCUCCUUUCACCUCAGAGCUUCACCCAGGAGACACUCAUAUCACAUCCUCAUCAUCAUCGUCUUCCUCAGCAUAUUCAUCAUCUUCAUCAUCAUCAUGAUAUUUUUCUUCAUCAUGAUGUUCAGAGUUCUGAUUCACCUGGCAGCUCUACCACUCUGGGUGACAGGGCAGUUGUUUAGUAGCAUGGUUCAUCAGAGGCCUGUGGCACUAACAGAAGGUCCUGGAGGAGACGUUCAACUCACCUGCAGCCAUACGAUCCCUAACUACUACGUGAUACUAUGGUACAAACAGUCAGCAGGAGACACUGCUAUGAAACUCAUUGGUUAUGCAUAUACCAAGUCAAUAACCAUGGAGAAAUCAUUUGAAAAGCACUUUAAUGUGAGUGGAGACGGUGGGAAAGAGGCUUAUCUUCAUCUAGUGAGUCUGAGAGGACCUGAACACAGUGCAGUUUAUUACUGUGCAGCCAGCCAACACAGUGAUGUAGACUUCCUCCUGCUCUCUACUAAAACCCUGUCUGAUGGUAAUAUUAGACCACGGCUCAGAACACCUGCAU